AUCCAGCUGAUAAGUCCCAAAUAGGACGAAAAACGCUUCCUGGAU
rfam:Schistosoma rodhaini strain Burundi genome assembly, scaffold: SROB_scaffold0002342